rnacentral:misc_RNA from 1 species
UUAUCUUCCUCUGGCGCUCCACAAUUUCACUCUCUUUACUAAGCACCGCCCUCCUCUGUGCCACCACCUUCCUUUCCCUCUCCCUCCGAAACCUGGUUCUGUGGGUGGAUUAGACCAAUGGUGAGGUUGAACUGCAGGUGUUGAUGGUAGGGUUCGUCGCGGGGAUGAUGGUGAAGGGAAGUCUGACAAGAGGAGAUGAGACCAGAGAGAGUCCUAAGUGGAUAAUCGGUGGAGGCGUCUGCAGGAGAUAGAGAUGCAAAAGAGAUCUUUAAAGCUGAAUUUGGAAUUUCGUAUUCCGAUUUCCAGCAUUGGCCUCCAUAGCUCGUCUUCUUCUCUGCAUAAUGAAUUUUUAG